rnacentral:miRNA from 1 species
UAUUAAGUUGGUGCAAAAGUUAUUGUGAUUUUUGCUGUUACUUUCUAUGAUAAAAACUGCAAUUACUUUUACACCAACCUAAUA